rnacentral:misc_RNA from 1 species
GAUGAAGAACGUAGCGAAAUGCGAUAAGUAAUGUGAAUUGCAGAAUUCAGUGAAUCAUCGAAUCUUUGAACGCACAUUGCGCCCGCCAGCAUUCUGGCGGGCAUGCCUGUUCGAGCGUCAUUUCAACCCUCGAGCCCCCCCGGGGGCCUCGGUGUUGGGGGACGGCACACCAGCCGCCCCCGAAAUGCAGUGGCGACCCCGCCGCAGCCUCCCCUGCGUAGUAGCACACACCUCGCACCGGAGCGCGGAGGCGGUCACGCCGUAAAACGCCCAACUUUCUUAGAGUUGACCUCGGAUCAGGUAGGAAUACCCGCUGAACUUAAGCAUAUCAAUAAGCGGAG